GAUGAACGCUGGCGGCGUGCCUAAUACAUGCAAGUCGAGCGAAUGGAUUAAGAGCUUGCUCUUAUGAAGUUAGCGGCGGACGGGUGAGUAACACGUGGGUAACCUGCCCAUAAGACUGGGAUAACUCCGGGAAACCGGGGCUAAUACCGGAUAACAUUUUGAACCGCAUGGUUCGAAAUUGAAAGGCGGCUUCGGCUGUCACUUAUGGAUGGACCCGCGUCGCAUUAGCUAGUUGGUGAGGUAACGGCUCACCAAGGCAACGAUGCGUAGCCGACCUGAGAGGGGGAUAGGCCAGACUGGGACUGAGACACGGCCCAGACUCCUACGGGAGGCAGCAGUAGGGAAUCUUCCGCAUUGGACGAAAGUCUGACGGAGCAACGCCGCGUGAGUGAUGAAGGCUUUCGGGUCGUAAAACUCUGUUGUUAGGGAAGAACAAGUGCUAGUUGAAUAAGCUGGCACCUUGACGGUACCUAACCAGGAAGCCACGGCUAACUACGUGCCAGCCGCCGCCGUAA
rnacentral:rRNA from 1 species